CUUUUCUAUGGAAGCUUGCUUCCACUGAGAAGAUAGUGGCGAACGGGUGAGUAACACGUGGGUAACCUGCCCAUAAGAGGGGGAUAACAUCCGGAAACGGGUGCUAAUACCGCAUAGUUUUCUUGAUCGCAUGAUCGGGAAAGGAAAGACGGCCUUUGUGCUGUCGCUUAUGGAUGGACCCGCGGCGUAUUAGUUAGUUGGUGAGGUAACGGCUCACCAAGACGAUGAUACGUAGCCGACCUGAGAGGGUGAUCGGCCACAUUGGGACUGAGACACGGCCCAAACUCCUACGGGAGGCAGCAGUAGGGAAUCUUCCGCAAUGGACGAAAGUCUGACGGAGCAACGCCGCGUGAGUGAAAGAAGGUUUUCGGAUCGUAAAACUCUGUUGUCAGAGAAGAACAAGUUGGAGAGUAACUGCUCCAGCCUUGACGGUAUCUGACCAGAAACGCCACGGCUAACUACGUGCCAGCCGCCGC
rnacentral:rRNA from 1 species